rnacentral:rRNA from 1 species
UACGAAGGUCCCAAGCGUUAUCCGGAUUUAUUGGGUUUAAAGGGUGCGUAGGCGGGUUAUUAAGUCAGUGGUGAAAGCUCCAUGCCCAACAUGGAAAUUGCCAUUGAUACUGAUGAUCUUGAGUACAUUUGAAGUGGGCGGAAUGUGUCAUGUAGCGGUGAAAUGCUUAGAUAUCGAGAGGAACACCGGUGGCGAAGGCGGCCAACUGGACGAAGACUGACGCUGAGACACGAAAGCGUGGGGAGCAAACAGG